CACUUUGAAGCCAAUUUUGAUGUACGUAAGUACAAUGUGGGCUACAGUACUCACAUUCUCCACAAGAUGGAGAUCUCACUUAUAAGCGUGGAACGCAAAGAAGGAAGCGAUGUAACGUGCAGACAGGAAGUGAUGUAGGGUUACGACAGGAAGUGAUGUAGGGUAAAGACAGGAAGUUCAAGAAGAAAGGUGAUUUAGUAGAAAAUAACGAAGAGACAAUACUGGGUCUUGAGGCAGAUAAGGAUUAUAAAGUAGUAAAGAAAACAUCUGGAUAUCCAUUAACACCCAGCAGCCGCCUUCACAGGACAUCACCCAUCACAGUGCCUCCACCUCACUGCCUAAAAACAGAGGUAACCAGUGCCAAGAAGAUUCUAGAAAUCGCCAACAGAAUCAUUGAUCUGGUGACAGGAGAGGUUCCUAUAAGGUGUCAGGAUGUCACUGUCUAUUUCUCCAUG